rnacentral:rRNA from 1 species
CAGGGAAUAUUGGUAAUGGGCGAAAGCCUGAACCAGCAACGCUGCGUGUGCGAUGAAGGCCUUCGGGUUGUAAAGCACUUUUGACCGGGACGAGGAAGGACGGUACCGGUGGAAUAAGCCUCGGCUAACUACGUGCCGGCAGCCGCGGUAAAACGUAGGAGGCGAGCGUUAUCCGGAUUUACUGGGUGUAAAGCGCGUGCAGGCGGUUAGCUAAGUUGGGUGUGAAAGCUCCUGGCUCAACUGGGAGAGGUCGCUCAAGACUGGCUGACUCGAGGAUGGUAGGGGAAGGUGGAAUUCCGGGUGUAGUGGUGAAAUGCGUAGAUAUCCGGAGGAACACCAGUGGCGAAGGCGGCCUUCUGGACCAUCACUGACGCUCAGACGCGAAAGCUAGGGUAGCAAACGG